rnacentral:lncRNA from 1 species
AGAAAGAAAGAAAGAGGAAAGAAACUUCAUCUCAAAAAGGAGAGAGAGAAAGAGAGAGAGAAUGGAAAUAAAGAGAGAAAGAAAGAAGAAAGAAAGAAAGACUCCAUCUCAAAAAAAAGAGAGAAAGAGAAAGAGAGAAAGAAAAAAGGCUCCAUCUCAAAAAAGAAAAAAAAAAAAAAAAAAAGAGAAAGACUCCAUCUAAAGAAAGAAAAAAGAGAGAGAGACAGAAACACAGACAGGUAUCCUGUGGCACAUGGUGUGCUCUCUCUGCUAGACAGAGUGCUAGACCUGUAAUUUUUUGAUGCUAUGAUGGUCUCUUGCACUGCUUUUGUGGAUUCCUACAGUGGAGGGACGUUCACGUCGCCACCGUUUUUUGCAAAGCACCAUUUUUUGCAGCCCCCGUGCUGGUUUGUGCUUCUGUUCCGUGAGCACUUGGCCUCCCAAAGUGCUGGGAUUACAGACCCUGACAGUCAUCCCUGUUGAAGAUGUGAGCCUCCAGGCUGUGGGGCACUGGGACACAUCUCUUGGUGUCUUCCAUGUCCUCCCUGUUCACCCCAGCUGCUUCCCCAACACAUCAACUGUGUAUCACGUUCCCUCUGCCUGUGGAGGCUGGCCUCAGGUUCCCCCUCUUGGUGGGGCCUGCUGGGGGACGUGGGAUGGUUUCUGGGCCUCCAGCUUUGCCAGCUUUCUCAGCAGGCACCCAUGCCUGCCUCUACAGCCUUGCUCUCCCUCCUGGAGGUGCCACUGUGCAUGGCCUCGGACAGAGGAUCGUUCCAACAGCCACUCGCCCCUUACUGCUUCAGCGCACCAAGCCUGGGCGGGGAAUACAUGGUUCUGCACAGGAGUCGGGGUCUAUGGCCUUGGUACCUGCCCAGCCAGAAGAUCACAUGUACCCCUGGAUCUCACAGCCUCUUCAGGAGCAAGCCCUGGACAGCACUGUCAACAAGAUGGGUGCUCGGUGCUUUCCCUGUUUUCUAUCAGAGAAGGUUCUGGUUUCUGAUGACGCCAACCUCCAUGCAGAUUACAUGCCAGCAGGGAGUAGGUGGCAACUGGAAUCGUGCCAACUUCACUUCCUACUGUGA